rnacentral:rRNA from 1 species
GACGGGGGAUGCGAGCGUUAUCCGGAAUGAUUGGGCGUAAAGGGUCCGCAGGUGGCCCGGUCAGUCCGCUGUCAAAACCUGGGGCUCAACCCUGGAGAGGCGGCGGAGACCACCGGGCUUGAGUCCGGUAGGGGAAGAGGGAAUUCCCGGUGGAGCGGUGAAAUGCGUAGAGAUCGGGAAGAACGCCAAGGGCGAAGGCACUCUGCUAGGCCUGAUUUCGCGACUGACACUCAGGGACGAGAGCCAGGGGAGCGAAUGGG